CGCGUAGGAAUCUACCCAGUAGUGGGGGACAACUAGUGGAAACGCUAGCUAAUACCGCAUACGCCCUAAGGGGGAAAGCGGGGGAUCUUCGGACCUCGUGCUAUUGGAUGAGCCUGCGUAAGAUUAGCUUGUUGGUGAGGUAAUGGCUCACCAAGGCUACGAUCUUUAGCUGGUCUGAGAGGAUGAUCAGCCACACCGGGACUGAGACACGGCCCGGACUCCUACGGGAGGCAGCAGUCGGGAAUAUUGCGCAAUGGGGGAAACCCUGACGCAGCCAUGCCGCGUGUGUGAAGAAGGCCC
rnacentral:rRNA from 1 species